GAUGAACGCUGGCGGCAUGCCUAAGACAUGCAAGUCGUACGCGAAGGCCUAAUGAUUAUUGCGGAAGAUUGGAGAGCUCGCUCAAAGAUUGGAAGCAAUAUGAUUUAGAUUACCUUCGAGUGGCAAACGGGUGAGUAACACGUGGGUUACCUGCCUCUAGGUUGGGGAUAACGGUUGGAAACGAUCGAUAAUACCGAAUAUACUCUACGGAGCAAAGAAGCCUUUAAAGCUUCGCCAAGAGAUGGGCCUGCGGCGUAUUAGCUAGUUGGUGGGGUAAUGGCCUACCAAGGCAACGAUACGUAGCCGAACUGAGAGGUUAAUCGGCCACACUGGGACUGAGACACGGCCCAGACUCCUACGGGAGACAGCAGUUAGGAAUAAUUCGUCAAUGGGGGAAACCCUGAACGAGCAAUG
rnacentral:rRNA from 1 species